GAUGAACGCUGGCGGCGUGCUUAACACAUGCAAGUCGAACGGUGAAGCAGGAGCUUGCUCUUGUGGAUCAGUGGCGAACGGGUGAGUAACACGUGAGCAACCUGCCCCUGACUCUGGGAUAAGCGCUGGAAACGGCGUCUAAUACUGGAUAUGUGAUGUGACCGCAUGGUCUGCAUCUGGAAAGAAUUUCGGUUGGGGAUGGGCUCGCGGCCUAUCAGCUUGUUGGUGAGGUAAUGGCUCACCAAGGCGUCGACGGGUAGCCGGCCUGAGAGGGUGACAGGCCACACUGGGACUGAGACACGGCCGAGACGCCGACGGGAGGCAGCAGGGGGGAAUAUUGCACAACGGGCGGAAGCCUGAUGCAGCAACGCCGCGUGAGGGAUGACGGCCUUCGGGUUGUAAACCUCUUUUAGCAGGGAAGAAGCGAAAGUGACGGUACCUGCAGAAAAAGCACCAGCUAACUACGUGCCAGCCGCCGCCGUAA
rnacentral:rRNA from 1 species